CUCCCAGACUCCUACGGGAGGCAGCAGUGGGGAAUAUUGCACAAUGGGGGAAACCCUGAUGCAGCGACGCCGCGUGAGUGAAGAAGUACUUCGGUAUGUAAAGCUCUAUCAGCAGGGAAGAUAAUGACGGUACCUGACUAAGAAGCCCCGGCUAACUACGUGCCAGCAGCCGCGGGAAUACGUAGGGGGCAAGCGUUAUCCGGAUUUACUGGGUGUAAAGGGUGCGUAGGUGGCAGGGCAAGUCAGAUGUGAAAGCCCGGGGCCCAACCCCGGUACUGCAUUUGAAACUGUCCGGCUGGAGUGCAGGAGAGGUAAGCGGAAUUCCUAGUGUAGCGGUGAAAUGCGUAGAUAUUAGGAGGAACACCAGUGGCGAAGGCGGCUUACUGGACUGUAACUGACACUGAGGCACGAAAGCGUGGGGAGCAAACAGGAUUAGAUACCCGCGUAAAG
rnacentral:rRNA from 1 species